rnacentral:rRNA from 1 species
UACCUACGGGGGGCAGCAGUGGGGAAUAUUGGACAAUGGGCGCAAGCCUGACCCAGCAACGCCGCGUGAAGGAAGAAGGCUUUCGGGUUGUAAACUUCUUUUGACAGGGAAGAGCAGAAGACGGUACCUGUCGAAUAAGCCACGGCUAACUACGUGCCAGCAGCCGCGGUAAUACGUAGGGGGCAAGCGUUGUCCGGAUUUACUGGGUGUAAAGGGCGUGUAGCCGGGCUGACAAGUCAGAUGUAAAAUCCGGGGUCUCACCCCCCGCCCU